GAUGAACGCUAGCGACAGGCCUAACACAUGCAAGUCGAGGGGCAGCACAUGAGUAGCAAUACGAUGGUGGCGACCGGCGCACGGGUGAGUAUCGCGUAUGCAACCUACCUUCCACAGGGGGAUAGCCUUCCGAAAGGGAGAUUAAUACCGCAUAAAACAGGGGCCCCGCAUGGGGAUAUUUGUUAAAGAUUUAUCGGGGGAGAUGGGCAUGCGUUCCAUUAGCUAGUUGGCGGGGUAAUGGCCCACCAAGGCAUCGAUGGAUAGGGGAACUGAGAGGUUUAUCCCCCACACUGGAACUGAGACACGGUCCAGACUCCUACGGGAGGCAGCAGUGAGGAAUAUUGGUCAAUGGGCGCAAGCCUGAGCCAGCCAUCCCGCGUGAAGGAAGAAUGCGCUAUGCGUUGUAAACUUCUUUUCCAGGGGAAUAAAAUUUUGUACGUGUACGGAAUUGAAGGUACCCUGGGAAUAAGCAUCGGCUAACUCCGUGCCAGCCGCCGCAGUAAUAC
rnacentral:rRNA from 1 species